UACGAAGGGGGCGAGCGUUGUUCGGAAUUACUGGGCGUAAAGGGCGCGUAGGCGGCGACCCAAGUCAGAUGUGAAAGUCCUGGGCUUAACCUGGGGACUGCAUUUGAUACUGGGUUGCUUGAAUUCGGGAGAGGAUAGCGGAAUUCCCAGUGUAGAGGUGAAAUUCGUAGAUAUUGGGAAGAACACCGGUGGCGAAGGCGGCUAUCUGGACCGACAUUGACGCUGAGGCGCGAAGGCCAGGGGAGCAAACGGG
rnacentral:rRNA from 1 species